AUUAGGAGAAAACAAAUAAUGCUUGAGUAGUAAGCAGCUAUAAUCUUUAAACUUAAAGGAUUUGGCGGUAUCCAAGCCUAGUUAGAGGAACCUGCACUGUAAACGAUAUUCCACGAAUGAUCUUACUUCUCUUUGUUUUCAGUAUGUAUACCUCCAUUAUAAAACAAUACUCAAAAUUACUUGUUAAAAUAGAAGGUUUUAAGAUAUUAGGUCAAGGUGCAGCUAAUAGUGAAGUAGUUGUGGGUUACAAUAUGUUAGUGAUAUACGGAUAAUAGCCAGAAUAGGGUAGUUGAAGGUGGAUUUAAUUGUAAAGUUGUUUUAAUAUGGCAGGUUGAUAGAAGUUUUAGGAUAUGU
rnacentral:rRNA from 1 species